AGCGUAGGUGGCCUAACAUGUCAACUGUGAAAACCCGGAGCUCAACUCCGGACUUGCAGUUGAAACUGGUAGGCUUGAGGACGGUAGAGGAAGACGGAACUGCCAGUGUAGGGGGUAAAAUCCUUAGAUAUUGGCAGGAACGCCGGUGACGAAGGUGGUUUUCUGGGCCGGUUCUGACACUGAUGCUCGAAAGCCAGGGGAGCGAACG
rnacentral:rRNA from 1 species